AAUGGCUUCUUGGUUAUGGAAUGCCCACCCCCAGCAGGUUUGACUAAUAUAAGUGCUUUUCUCAUAUAGGUCAAUACCUUUCUAUUAUCCAGCAUUUUAGUAGCAGAUUCCUGGUUGCUAAUUUAUGGUCUGCAUCAUCUGGUUUUAUUUGGACUGCCUUCAUUCUUGUAGGUUUUCUUUCAGUGAAAUUGUCUUAUUACUGAAUUUUUAAUUUUAUUCUGAAUUCUGUAAGCACAUUUGGGAUUAUCAUUUCAUAUACAAAUCCUGUAAAUUAGGGGAAGAGCAAAGCUAGAGCAAAGCUAGCUGGCAACUUGGGAAGUUGUGGGGUUACACCCACACAUUCUGGUACAACUCACCUGUAUGGCUACAUUUCCGUACAGAUACUCACCGUAUGAUGGGAAUUCAUUCUAUAUCCCAGGGACCAAAUGCAACUAUCGAGGCCUCUCUGGUCCUUGGAACUCUCCCCAGGCCACAACUCCUCCCUCCAAGCCACCCCCUUCCUUGCACCUCCAAGUGUUUUCGCCUGGCUGGAAUGUGUCCUUUGACUCUGAUCGUGCCUCUUGCUCACCUGGAUGGAAGCUAGAGAGAGGCGGGUGAGUGUGUGUGGAAACGAGAUUACAGUGGUACCUCUGGUUACGAACUUAAUUCAUUCCAGAGGUCCGUUCUUAACCUGAAACAGUUCUUAAUCUGAGGGAUCACUUUAGCUAAUGGGGCCUCCCGCUGCCGCCACCGCACAAUUUCUGUUCUCAUCCUGAGGUAAAGUUCUUAAACCGAGGUACUACUUCUGGGUUAGCGGAGUCUGUAACCUGAAGUGUUUGUAACCUGAGGUACCACUGUACUGUAUAAAGUUAACACUUACACCCAAAAGCUCCCAACCCCUGCUAUAUCCUGUAAACCUGGAUAUUUUGUAAACCUGCCAUAUCCUGGAACCCUGAACUAGAGCACUCCAGAUUGAAACAUUUGUUGUAAGUCCCACUUUAAUAAUAUUGGUCUCCCAGCAGAACACAGAAAGGUGUGCGCAGCUCAGUAAUGACUCUGCUGAUAACAGGUUUCAGGCAGGGAUUCUUUCUUAGCCCUACCUCAAGAUGUUGAGACCUUUUGCAUGCAAAGCAGAGGCUGUACCACUGAGCUACAGCACUAUCCAUAGUAUUUGCAGAUAACUUUUCUUGUGACUCAUGGAUUAGUGCUGCGUCAUGCAAAGACUUUUCCUUAUCGCCCUGCUGAAGCUUGCAAAGCAAGAGGCAAAUGGGACUAAUUUGGCUUUUGUUUCAAAGGGCACCUACAUCAGAUCAACGAGAAGAAACGUACGAACUCAAUAGGUUAACAGGAAAACAUCCACAUUCAACACAAACCGUAAAGCGCAUGACUUUUAAAAAGAUAACAACCAAGGCCUAAGUGUCUAAGUCUGAAUUUCAGAGGUUCUGAAAGCAGUGGAGGGAAUUUCAGUAUAUACCCCCUCCUGCUAGCUCAGUGUCUUUUCAUUCUAGGUGGCCUACUCUGUUGUUUAUUGCUGGUUUUCGAAAAUACAGCCAGAUUUUUUAAAAAGCACUGUACUUAUCUAUAAUUAAAGUACCAACCAGAAAAGGAAAACAAACCCUUUCCCAUCUCCUUAUACUCAGUUUAAAAAUCAGAGAUAAAACAAACUAGGAAAAAGCACUGGGCUUGUGGGGGGGGGGAUAUUAGUACACAGGAGAAUGCGUAAUCUUCUGGUUAACAAAAGGCUCACAAAGGCCCCAAUCUUGACUUAAGUUGGUUGAGGUAGGUCACUUGGCAAAGUAAGCAAUUGGAAAAAAAGAUUAUUUUUUUUACAAAAUUUUUAAAAAGGGGUUACCUCCUUCCAGGGAGCAAAUGAGAUAAUAUUGUCAGGAGCCAGAAUCAGGUGAAGGUCAGCAAUAAAAAAAAAUGUCCAACAUUUCUCCAAUGAAAAUAGGGAUGUCCCAUUCCAUAAUGAUAAUUUUACUGUUUAUACUCCACACAUCUUACCAGGUUGCUCCAGCCACUCUGGGCAGCUUCCAACAUAUAUAAAAACAUAAUAAAAUAUUAAACAUUUUUUUAAAACUUCCCUAUACAGGAUUGCGUUCAAAUGGCUCGGGGGUCAGAUAACUCCAUACCCUCCAACAUUUCUCCAAUGAAAAUAGGGACGUCCUAAGGAAAAGUGGGACAUUCUGGGAUCAAAUCAGAAACCAGGAUGGCUUCUCUAAACCAGGGAUGUCCUUGAAAAAUAGGGACACUUGAGCUGAAAUGUUAUAAGGGAAUAUGAAAAAAUGGAUUAUUAAUAGGUAAAAAUUUAAAAUUAUAAUACUUUACGAUUAACGACUAGGAUAUACAAAGAGGGGAGGGAUUUGCUGAACUAACAAACUGAACUGGAAUACAAAAAGGGAGGCGUGAGGAGGUCCGGGAAAUAAGCAAAUGAAGGAUAAGUAAUGGAAAGAAUGAAGUGUUUUUAACUAUUUUUAUUUUGCAUUUUUCUUUUUCCUUUUUCUAUACUGUAAUAUUUUGAAAACCUUAAUAAAUAUCUUAUAAAAAAAUAUCUUAUUAAAAAAAAAAUAGGAUGCCAUAGAAUCCAAUGCUGCACUGCUGCAGAGGACAAGACCCUCUGGAGAUGUAAAUGCUGUGAACUCUCCCUCCAUAAAACUCUGGUGUAAAUAUGUGUGAAUAAACCGAAUUUCUUAAAGACAAAAAAAAGAAGAAAAAAAUAGGGACACUUGGAGGGUCUGGUUUAUUCUUAAUAUUGCCAUUUUUUUUUCUUGGCAGGAAUCCUGUUCUUUUAACAGCUGCGUGACCAUCAAGAGAUUCGGAAGCACACACCUUCCUGUUCAGCAUUGCCACACAAAUAAUCAAAGGUUGGCUAUGAGUGUUGAAUAUGAUUUAUCUCUGAAUGCCUCAAAACCUUUGGUUUUGCGCUGCUAUAGACUAAUGGUAGUUUUUCAUGCCAGUAGGUGACCUGACAAUGGAGAAUUUUAGAACUUGUACAAACCAGCCCUGUUCAUUUAUAGCCCUCUAGCAGAAGAUGGCCAUAGGUCUGCUUUUUUGAACCAGAAGACCCACAUAGGGGAAAUGAUACCCAAAGCUGAAUGUGCAACACCCACUGCCUCCACUGCUUAAAGAUGUCCUUGUUUUUUGUGUGAACCAGUGACCUGCCUCAACUGUACACAAUACUAUCCAUUUCUGCCCUCCCUACCCAAUAAACCCAGAAAUUCUAUUCAAAGAA